UAGGGAAUCUUCCGCAAUGGACGAAAGUCUGACGGAGCAACGCCGCGUGAGUGAUGAAGGUUUUCGGAUCGUAAAACUCUGUUGUUAGGGAAGAACAAGUACCGUUCGAAUAGGGCGGUACCUUGACGGUACCUAACCAGAAAGCCACGGCUAACUACGUGCCAGCAGCCGCGGUAAUACGUAGGUGGCAAGCGUUGUCCGGAAUUAUUGGGCGUAAAGGGCUCGCAGGCGGUUUCUUAAGUCUGAUGUGAAAGCCCCCGGCUCAACCGGGGAGGGUCAUUGGAAACUGGGGAACUUGAGUGCAGAAGAGGAGAGUGGAAUUCCACGUGUAGCGGUGAAAUGCGUAGAGAUGUGGAGGAACACCAGUGGCGAAGGCGACUCUCUGGUCUGUAACUGACGCUGAGGAGCGAAAGCGUGGGGAGCGAACAGGAUUAGAUACCCUGGUAGUCCACGCCGUAAACGAUGAGUGCUAAGUGUUAGGGGGUUUCCGCCCCUUAGUGCUGCAGCUAACGCAUUAAGCACUCCGCCUGGGGAGUACGGUCGCAAGACUGAAACUCAAAGGAAUGGACGG
rnacentral:rRNA from 1 species